AGGCUUUGGUUAACUAGUUUCUCCUGAGGUCAGGCCUUAUUAAGAACAGGUUGCUCUGGCAUAUUACAAAAUGGUUGCUUUUCCUCUCCUCUGCUAGAAGCACAAGGGGAUUUUUCUCUGAUCUUUACUGUGAGAACCUGGUAAAGCCUCUGGAGGUAAAAUUCACAAAGUAUGGGGGCCCCUCAAUUAUUGAGCCCCCCCCCUGAAGUUUUUAACUCUCAGGCUCGUCCGCUCUGAGCCUCCAGCAAUUUGUCAAUUACAAUUCUGGUUUUCCUACCAGAAACUGGUUUCCACAGAGGUUUCAUCUCAUGAGUUUCUGUUCUGGCCUCCACGCAGUGCCCAGAGAAAAGCAGGAGGCCGGCAAGUGCCCCCUCCAUGAUGCAGGUGUGCAAAUGGUUAUCAGCUAUCACUUGAGUCAGGCCACCGAAUUUCAGAACUUCAUUGCUGCUUUGAGCACCAGUUCUACCUCCAAGGAGGCCGAAGGGAUGCUAAAUAGUAUUUUUCACAGUUGAAGACUCCAUUUCACCUUGAUAUCCCUUAAGCGUAAUGACAGUUCUCCGUUUAGACCAAUUUAAGUAUGGAAGUUGGGAGGGAGCAGAGGGAAGCUACAGAAACUUUGCAGGGAGGAGUAGAGGCGAGAGGCCAAUACUUAUUUAUGCAAAAGGCCAGCGGACGCUUAAUUGCUUGGAGGCUUAUGUCUCAAUUUUAACUUUAUAUCCUUACCUGGGGAAAAGGAGAAUAGCAUUCAUUCAUCUGCCUAUUUAUUGAAAGUCUUCCAUGAGCAAUCACUAUAAGUGGGGGUAAAUAGAGUGGAGGUUUAGAGAGCUAGAGUGGAAAAGAAGAAGAAAAACUCAACACAAGAUUAAAAUGUGGCCUCUAUCCUUAAGAAAUAACAAUGAAGUGGGAAAAUGAAACGAAUAAACUUUUAAAAAAUUAAUUGAGCAGCAAGUGUUCAGAGGAGUUGAAAGUUCAAAAGGAGUCUUUGUUAUUUCUGUUACCCCAAUCCCAUCACACACACACAUUCACCCACCAAUACUUUACAGCUGUGCCAGGCCUCGGAUUGGUACCUUUUAUGUUCUCAAUAUGCUCUCUGACUCAAUCCCCAUCUUUUUCAGACUCUGAGUUCACUUCCUCUGGGAAGGCUUCCAUGAAAUGCCAUCCCUUAUUGGGCUCUAUCAUAGCACAUGUAACUUGACUUUAAG
rnacentral:lncRNA from 1 species